AUUGAACGCUGGCGGCAUGCUUUACACAUGCAAGUCGAACGGUAACAGGCCGCAAGGUGCUGACGAGUGGCGAACGGGUGAGUAAUGCAUCGGAACGUGCCCAGUCGUGGGGGAUAACGCAGCGAAAGCUGUGCUAAUACCGCAUACGAUCUAUGGAUGAAAGCGGGGGACCGUAAGGCCGCGGGCGAUUGGAGCGGGCGAUGUCAGAUUAGGUAGUUGGUGGGGUAAAGGCUCACCAAGCCAACGAUCUGUAGCGGGUCUGAGAGGACGACCAGCCACACUGGGACUGAGACACGGCCCAGACUCCUACGGGAGGCAGCAGUGGGGAAUUUUGGACAAUGGGCGCAAGCCUGAUCCAGCAAUGCCGCGUGCAGGAAGAAGGCCUUCGGGUUGUAAACUGCUUUUGUACGGAACGAAACGGUCUGGGUUAAUACCUCGGGCUAAUGACGGUACCGUAAGAAUAAGCACCGGCUAACUACGUGCCAGCCGCCGCAGUAAAAC
rnacentral:rRNA from 1 species